UACGUAGGGGUGCAAGCGUUUGUCCGGAAUUAUUGGGCGUAAAGAGCUCGUAGGCGGUCUGUCGCGUCUGCUGUGAAAAUCAGGGCUCAACCCUGGACCUGCAGUGGGUACGGGCAGACUAGGGUACGGUAGAGGGAAGCGGAAUUUCCGGUGUAGCGGUGAAAUGCGUAGAUAUCGGAAGGAACAUCAGUGGCGAAAAGC
rnacentral:rRNA from 1 species